AUUGAACGCUGGCGGAAUGCUUUACACAUGCAAGUCGAACGGUAGAGGGGGCAACCCCUUGAGAGUGGCGAACGGGUGAGUAAUAUAUCGGAACGUGCCCAGUCGUGGGGGAUAACGUAGCGAAAGUUACGCUAAUACCGCAUACGAUCUACGGAUGAAAGCGGGGACCGUAAGGCCUCGCGCGAUUGGANCGGCCGAUAUCAGAUUAGGUAGUUGGUGGGGUAAAAGGCUCACCAAGCCAACGAUCUGUAGCUGGUCUGAGAGGACGACCAGCCACACUGGAACUGAGACACGGUCCAGACUCCUACGGAGGCAGCAGUGGGAAUUUUGGACAAUGGACGAAAGUCUGAUCCAGCCAUUCCGCGUGCAGGAUGAAGGCCCUCGGGUUGUAAACUG
rnacentral:rRNA from 1 species